ensembl:lncRNA
UUUUCAGUACUUAAGUUUUUAACAGGUACUCUUGUGAUUUAUAAUGACUGUGCCAUUAUAAACCAUUCAAAAUUCCAUAGAAAGGUGAAUGUAAUUUUUCAUUGUUUAAAAGUUAUUUUCAAUUUUCUGUAUUCCUGUAGCAUUAGAUCAUUUAGAGCAGGGGUUCCCAAUCCUACCAACCUGCAGAGUUCAGUUCUAACCCUGCUCCAGCUCACCUGUCUGGAAUUAUCAAGUGCAUCUGAAGAUCUGGUUCAGUUGUGCUUGAUCAGGGUUGGAGCUGAACUUUGAAGGAAGGUGGAUCUCCAGCAACAGGAUUGGGCACCUCUGAUUUAGAGUAUUUUAUACAAUAUGUAACAUCUGCCAGAAACUGCAGAAUUUAGGGGUCUGAAUUUGUGUCUGCUCCAGUAUUUCAUCCCUGUCUCUUUUUUUCCCCAGUACAUCUGCUUUACCUUUUUUUGCAUUUUCUAUAUGCCUUUUAGUCAAUUUUUCUCUCCCUCCUCCUUGAUUUACUUUUUUCCAGCACAAGGACUGCAGUGGUAUAUCUGGCUGGCUCAUGCAACUAGAGCUGCAUUCCUUUAUUGCAAAUGACAUGCUAUUUCCCUCCUGCCAACAGUCUACUGCAGGCCUCAGGCUUCAGUCCAGAAAAUCUGCCCUGGUCCGUCAUCAAACCUUCCAGCCCCCGGGAGCUUCUUGCCAAUCUAGAACUCACCUGACUGAGCUUCAAGCACAUGGAGUGACCCUGAGGUUGCAUAGAGAGCUGAGAUGUGAGGCGAAACAAAGCUCUCUGCUGCACGUUCCUCCAAGGCCAUAAAGUGAAAGCAUCUCACUGGACCUAAAGAGAAAUUCAUUUUGACACUGUUUUUAUAGAAAAGAAGCAGGAAAGCACAAAGCAGGAACCAACAAAACCCAAAUAUGAGUGCAUGACGGUAUUAAUUUGAAAGAAGUGCCAGUGAAGUUGACUAAUGCAACAUUUAAGAGGUCCUUAAUGCUUGAAUUUAUAAAAGCAUUAAAUCAUGUUAUCCCUCACUGUCUGGAUGACUAAAAUUAUCACAUGCCUCUCCAUUGCAGGUUCUGUCUAGCUUCAGGAUACACGGCUGAAUCUUAUGCCUUCUCCACUCUCAACUGAUCUUCACGUUAAUCCAAUUAUCACCUAUUAAUUCCUAUUACUUCUACUGCAAUGCUUCUGAUUUGCUAAAACAAACCUGUGGAUCUUUAAUCAGGAAAAAGCAGCAUUUUCAACCGUUUUGGUGUGAUUAUAAUGAAACUAUAAAUGUGCUGCAAACCUAAACCCCAUACAAUAAGGAGAUUAAUGAGUAAGCGAGGUGUACACCGGUUAUUUGAUUUUGAAAAUGAGCAGCAUAAUUUCAUCUUUUCAGUUAGGAAUAAUCUAUUAUUUAAUAACUUUUCGCCUCAUCCUUAAUUAAAAGACAUUCCUCAGCUUUAAGCCAUGGGAAGGUUUGGCUUUGGGAAACUAUCUCCCUUCAUCAUGGUAGGUAUUAACUCUGGGCUCAGCGUGCAGCUCAGCAUCUUUCGUUUGGCCAGCCAUCUCUAUUCUUCCAUUCUGGUGGACUGUGGCGUCACUGGUGGUGUGCUGCUGCAUAUUAUUAGCUGGUGGUGUUCUUGAUCCAUGUCAUUUUCAGCCUGUGCCAUUUCCUAUCGCUCACAGCUGCCUGCUCUGGCUAAUUAGUGACAGAGAUGGGAACAGGAACAGGAACAGGGAAGAGAGCUUCAGAGAAAAGGGUCUGCAAUAUCGUCCUUUCAUUUUCUCCGACACAAUUCCUGCUACUCUUUUUCCAGCCAUAAAGGCCAGACUGGAGGCUUCUUCUGGAAGGCACACACUCACAAGUGGGCACAGAUCUCAUUUACACUUGACAAACUGUAAUUCUGACAACGCAGUGUUUUUAAGAAAUUGGAGAGGAUGUUUUUAGUGCUUAAUUUGUGCCUCCAGAAUUGUAUCAGGAACCUAUUUUAAUGGAUCCCACUCCGACUCAUUUAAAAAAAAAAAAAUCUGUACAUAUGUAUGUUAGAUUAUUAAUUUUGUUAUUGUUAUUAUUAGCUUUGGCUAUGUUUGAAGUAUUUUUAGUGUGAACAAUAAUGACAGCUUAAAUUUAUAUAGGUUAUAGCUAAUUAAUUGUAUUUACACAUUCAUUAACCAUAAUACAGGUUUUCAGGAAAAAUAUUUUUAGUGCCUUAUCUGUACCAGAACCAGAUCCAUCUCCUCCAGAAUUGUCUCAGUAACUUUAAUUAAGGAUAAUUUCAUUUAAUGGAUCAUAAAAAAACCCUGUACUUAAGUAUGUUUUACAAUAAUAAUAAUUUUUAUUAUUAUUAUUUUAGCUGAUUGUCUAUUUUGGAUUUAAUGUUUGGGUGUGGGCAACUUGACAUUUUACAUUAUUUUGCUUAUUUUAAAUGUAAAUUUAUUUACAAACGCUCAACAUGUGCAAUGGAAAUUUUCAUCCUUGUCCAUCGUCUGCGCAAUUUAUAUUUUGACCAUUAAGUUAUGACCAAUAAAAUAUCUUUGCUGCAUGCA